UGAUUAUAAUUUUAAUCAAAAUAAUCUUGAUUAUCAGUUUAACCAUUAUCAUGCAGCCCUAUAGUAUUGGAUUUGUAUUUAUCAACAGGAUAAUCACUUUAUACAGAGGGAUGAGUGAAUAAAUCACACUGAUUUGUUUGUGGGACCUUGAGUGUUAUUUGAAAUUAUAGAAUUAGUGUUAAGUGUUCCAAAGGAAGUGGGGGGUUUUGGCAGAUUUGUGAUUGUGAACAUCUGUCUGAUGGUUCUACUCCAUAACAGGAAGUGUCCUUUCUGAAGAACAGCAUUCUGGGUAUGAAGAUGCUGAUGAGCUUCUUUCAGCAAUAUCUGCAGAAGGAGUCACACCUGAAUACCAUAAUGAUUUCUCCAGCACUAAAGGCCCAACAGAAGAGCAACAAAUCACACCAGAGAACUAUGAUGAUAUAAUCACUGUUGGACUGAGACAUUAUGCUACAGAUGACUUACCAGGAAACUAUGAUGAUGUUGUCAUCAUACGACAGUUCUCCAAUAAAAAAACAGACUAUGAUGAUGUGGAGGAGGAUCCAGGAAAACAGGCAGGAGCUGUAUAACUCAAACCUCACACACUGCCUCAGAAACUUUUAAAGCUUUUUAAAGUUUCAGCAAUCUUACUGUAUAAGUUUCAGUUGCAAUCUAACAGUGUUUUGUUACAUUCUGUACUGAAAUAUACAAUUGCAAUUU